rnacentral:rRNA from 1 species
GACGAACGCUGGCGGCGUGCUUAACACAUGCAAGUCGAGCGGUAAGGCCCUUUCGGGGGUACACGAGCGGCGAACGGGUGAGUAACACGUGGGUGACCUGCCCUCAGCUCUGGGAUAAGCCUGGGAAACCGGGUCUAAUACCGGAUAUGACUCCAUGACGCAUGUUGUGGGGUGGAAAGCCUUGUGCGGCUGAGGAUGGGCCCGCGGCCUAUCAGCUUGUUGGUGGGGUGANGGCCUACCAAGGCGACGACGGGUAGCCGGCCUGAGAGGGCGACCGGCCACACUGGGACUGAGACACGGCCCAGACUCCUACGGGAGGCAGCAGUGGGGAAUAUUGCGCAAUGGGCGAAAGCCUGACGCAGCGACGCCGCGUGUGGGAUGACGGCCU